UACAGAGGUCUCAAGCGUUGUUCGGAUUCAUUGGGCGUAAAGGGUGCGUAGGCGGCGUGGUAAGUCGGGUGUGAAAUCUCGGAGCUUAACUCCGAAACUGCAUUCGAUACUGCCGUGCUUGAGGACUGGAGAGGAGACUGGAAUUUACGGUGUAGCGGUGAAAUGCGUAGAUAUCGUAAGGAAGACCAGUGGCGAAGGCGGCUCACUGGCCCGGUACUGACGCUGAGGUGCGAAAGCGUGGGGAGCAAACAGG
rnacentral:rRNA from 1 species